rnacentral:lncRNA from 1 species
AAUCUCCCCGGCUUGGGGAGUGGGGCAGGCACAGGACCCUGUGUUCUCACUGACGGGGGACACCCCGCCGUCUCGACCUGGCCUUGGCCUCUGGCAUUCCCCCGGGACUCUCCCGGGAUUGGGGAGUGGGGCAGGGAUGGGACCCUGUGUUCUCACUGAGGAUGUGCGGGGGCUGGACAGUGUGACCUUGGCCAAGACCUGACCCCGCCGUGGCUUGGCCACUCCGGCCUGGGCUGUGCGAAUCAAAGGGUCAUUGUCUGGCUGGCGUGGGUUCCGGCCCUCUCCGGGGAAACCGAGGCCAGCUGCCAGUGGCCUCCUGCUCCCGGCUCUGUCUUCCCUAACCCAGAGGCUCUGUGCAGGGUGACCUCUAACAGGUCACUGACCCUUUCCAGAGCGCCGCCUCCUCCUGAGACCCCAGUGAUGACCUCCCCUCUCCCGGCUCUGCCCCUCUCCCCACCCUAUCCAGGCCCGAGGCUCAUCCUAGGACUUCCAGCCCGCAGCCUGGCCCCUGCGGCCCACUUCCUACCCCAGCUGCCAUAACACUUCUCCCUGGCUCAGACACCCACCGUGGCUCCUCGUGGCCUCUGCUCACCCCCCAGGCUUCUGUCUCCCUCCAGGUACAUCCUGACAGGUAAACAGACAGUGACAAUCCAGUGUUGUUCUGUGGCGGAGGAUGCCCAGAUGGCAAAGGUGCCCCAGGCCUGACCCGGGCCUGGGGGAGACUGAGGAAGGCUUCCCAGAGGAAAGAGACGUUGAGGUUGAGACUCGAAC